CUAGCGUAAACAUCGGUGGAGCAUUUGAACGGUGGAGACAACUGAUGGAGCUGAAGGGCCUGAAAAGCGAUGCCGAGGUUGCGGUCUUUCUGCUGAACAGGUAAAUCACUGCCAAAGGAGUAGAUCACCACAGAAGACAACGCAUCAUGCAAAGCCUGACCUGUCAGCCAUCCAUGGACACUCAUUUUCUAACAUAUAUAUAUUUCAAAUUUAUUAUAUGUAAAUACAGAUUGUUUAUGACAAUCAAAAGCAACAAAAGGACAGAUAGUUGUUUAAAAAAGUAUUCCUCUUAGGUCUCUCUUGUUGUUGUUGGUGUUGUUUUUUUAAUAAAACAAAAAGUGUUAUACCACA